rnacentral:lncRNA from 1 species
CGACAUUUUCAAGGAUGAGUACAACUAUUUUUAUGACAAGUGGUUACUGCUGUCUGCCCUAGUGUAGUGAUUACUGAUGUCUGACCUAGUGCCUAGUGUAGUGGUUACUGCUGUCUACCCUAGUGUAGUGGUUACUGCUGUCUACCCUAGUAUAGUGGUUACUGCAGUCUGCUCUAGUGUAGUGGUUACUGCUGUCUACCCUAGUGUAGUGGUUACUGCUGUCUACCCUAGUGUAGUGGUUACUGCUCUCUGCUCUAGUGUAGUGGUUACUGCUGUCUGCUCUAGUGUAGUGGUUACUGCUGUCUGCCCUAGUGUAGUGGUUACUGCUGUCUACCCUAGUGCCUAGUGUAGUGGUUACUGCUGUCUGCUCUAGUGUAGUGGUUACUGCUCUCUACCCUAGUGUAGUGGUUACUGCUGUCUGCACUAGUGUAGUGGUUACUGCUGUCUGCCCUAGUGUAGUGGUUACUGCUGUCUACCCUAGUGUAGUGGUUACUGCUGUCUACCCUAGUGUAGUGGUUACUGCUGUCUACCCUAGUGUAGUGGUUACUGCUGUCUGCUCUAGUGUAGUGGUUACUGCUGUCUGCCCUAGUGUAGUGGUUACAGUGAGCUGUGUGUUGGGUAUAGAGACAUAUUACCAUGGGUUAUAGUGGGCUUUGUGUUGUGUAUAGAGACAUAUUAACAUGGGUUAUAGUGGGCUGUGUGUCGGGUAUAGAGACGUAUUACCAUGGGUUAUUGUGGGCUGUGUGUUGGGUAUAGAGACAUAUUUCCAUGUGUUAUAAUGGGCUGUGUGUUGGGUAUAGAGACAUAUUACAAUGGGUUAUAGUGGGCUGUGUGUUGGUUAUAGAGACAUAUUACCAAGGUUUAUAGUGGGAUGUGUGUUAGGUAUAGAGACAUAUUACCAAGGGUUAUAGUGGGCUGUCAGUCGGGUAUAGAGACAUAUUACCAUGGGUUAUAGUGGGCUGUGUGUUGGGUAUAGAGACAUAUUACCAUGGGUUAUAGUGGGCUGUGUGUCAGGUAUAGAGACAUAUUACCAUGGGUUAUAGUGGGCUGUGUGUUGGGUAUAGAGACAUAUUUCCAUGGGUUAUAGUGGGCUGUGUGUUAGGUUUAGAGACAUAUUACCAUGGGUUAUAGUGGGCUGUGUGUUAGGUAUAGAGACAUAUUACCAAGGGUUAUAGUGGGCUGUGUGUUGGGUAUAGAGACAUAUUACCAUGGGUUAUAGUGGGCUGUGUAUUGGGUAUAGAGACAUAUUACCAUGGGUUAUAGUGGGCUGUGUGUUGGGUAUAGAGCCA